rnacentral:rRNA from 1 species
UACAGAGGUGGCAAGCGUUGCUCGGUAUCACUGGGCUUAAAGGGCGCGUAGGCGGUGCGGUACGGUUUCGGUGAAAUCCCUCGGCCCAACCGAGGAACAGCCGGAGCUACGGCCGCACUAGACGGCAUCAGGGGACAGUGGAACUCCCGGUGGAGCGGUGAAAUGCGUAGAUAUCGGGAGGAACGCCGGUGGCGAAGGCGGGUCUCUGGACAGUUCCUGACACUGAGACACGAAGGCCAGGGGAGCAAACGGG